AGUAGAGACGGGGUUUCACCAUGUUGGCCAGGCUGGUCUCAAACUCCUGUCCUCGGGUGAUCCAGCCAUC
ensembl:miRNA